GCCGAUGUGGUGGAAUUUGGUAGACACGCUGUCUUGAGGGGGCAGUGGCGAAAGCCGUGCCGGUUCGAGUCCGGCCAUCGGCACCA
rnacentral:tRNA from 1 species